rnacentral:lncRNA from 1 species
UAACAAAAUAAUUUUGGAGCUUUAAAAUGUUGGUUAAAUUUGUAAUGAAAUCACAUGUAGAUAUCAAACCAGAAAUAUUACAAUUGGAAUACCAAAAGGCAUUUAUUUAUUUAGAUUGAUCUGGAUUCUUGAACAUUUUUUCUUGCAUUCCAGUCUGACCUUCACAAUGAAGCUUGUCACAGUCCUCUGCCUCUUCUCCUUUAUCCUAUGUGUCAACAGUAAUAAAACUGCUCUACGAACUCCAACUGAAAAUUUGGAAAUGAUUGAAAAAGGUGUUGGUGGACUGUGCUUGACUUACUGUGAAAUGGUGGAAGCUGGAGAAGCAAAAAAUGACAGUUUCUCAUUUUGGAAGGAUAUGAGACGCUAACCAGGACACCUUGAACAUCACUAAUCUCUUUAGGAGUCAAUGACCCCAAUAGACAAAGAGCUCAACAGAUUGGAUCAAUUUUUAAUCUGCCUUUUCCUUCUUGUUCCCUCUUCCAUGUACUCUAUGAGCCCCAUCAAAGUAAUACUGUCAUUUCUUUAUCCUGAUGAUUCAGGGUGGUAGAUGCUAAUAUGUAUGAUCUUAAUAAAUAUGAACUUGAAAUUUCCUGACUCUCUUUG